ACGGAAGGCAGCAGUGGGGGAUAUUGCACAAUGGGCGCAAGCCUGAUGCUGCGAUGCCGCGUGAGGGAAGAAGGUUUUCGGAUUGUAAACCUCUGUCAACAGGGACGAAAAUGACGGUACCUGUGAAGGAAGCUCCGGCUAACUACGUGCCAGCGGCCGCGGUAAUACGUAGGGAGCAAGCGUUAUCCGGAAUUACUGGGUGUAAAGGGAGUGUAGGCGGGACUGUAAGUCAGAUGUGAAAUAUGCCGGCUCAACUGGCAGACUGCAUUUGAAACUGCGGUUCUUGAGUGAAGUAGAGGUAAGCGGAAUUCCUAGUGUAGCGGUGAAAUGCGUAGAUAUUAGGAGGAACAUCAGUGGCGAAGGCGGCUUACUGGGCCUUAACUGACGCUGAGGCUCGAAAGCGUGGGGAGCAAACAGGAUUAGAUACCCUGGUA
rnacentral:rRNA from 1 species